rnacentral:rRNA from 1 species
GACGAACGCUGGCGGCGUGCCUAAUACAUGCAAGUUGAGCGCUGAAGGUUGGUACUUGUACCAACUGGAUGAGCAGCGAACGGGUGAGUAACGCGUGGGGAAUCUGUCUUUGAGCGGGGGACAACAUUUGGAAACGAAUGCUAAUACCGCAUAAAAACUUUAAACACAAGUUUUAAGUUUGAAAGAUGCAAUUGCAUCACUCAAAGAUGAUCCCGCGUUGUAUUAGCUAGUUGGUGAGGUAAAGGCUCACCAAGGCGAUGAUACAUAGCCGACCUGAGAGGGUGAUCGGCCACAUUGGGAAUGAGACACGGCCCAAACUCCUACGGGAGGCAGCAGUAGGGAAUCUUCGGCAAUGGACGAAAGUCUGACCGAGCAACGCCGCGUGAGUGAAGAAGGUUUUCGGAUCGUAAAACUCUGUUGGUAGAGAAGAACGUUGGUGAGAGUGGAAAGCUCAUCAAGUGACGGUAACUACCCAGAAAGGGACGGCUAACUACGUG